GACGAACGCUGGCGGCGUGCUUAACACAUGCAAGUGGAGCGACGAACCGGGGCUUGCCCCGGGGCAAAGCCGCGAACGGGUGAGUAACACGUGGGUAACCCACCUCGAUGACCGGGACAACCCGAGGAAACUCGGGCUAAUACCGGAUGUGCUCUUCUCUCGCAAGGGAGUUGAGGAAAGGUAGCUUCGGCCUCCGCAUCGAGACGGGCCCGCGGCCCAUUAGCUUGUUGGUGGGGUAACGGCCUACCAAGGCUGCGAUGGGUAGCUGGUCUGAGAGGACGGUCAGCCACACUGGGACUGAGACACGGCCCAGACUCCUACGGGAGGCAGCAGUGGGGAAUCUUGCACAAUGCGCGAAAGCGUGAUGCAGCAACGCCGCGUGGGGGAAGAAGGCCUUCGGGUUGUAAACCCCUUUCAGUUGGGACGAAGCUUCGCCGGUUAAUAGCCGGCUGGAGUGACGGUACCUUCAGAAGAAGCCCCGGCUAACUACGUGCCAGCCGCCGCCGUAAUAC
rnacentral:rRNA from 1 species